GGAGAUGUGGCGAAGAGGUAACGCAGGUGGGCAAUGCUUGGAUGAGUUAGAACACUAAAAGAGGCAACACGAGCCAACUAACCAAGUAUCCUGCCUCAUCGCUGGUUCGAGUCCAGCCAUCUCUA
rnacentral:tRNA from 1 species